rnacentral:piRNA from 1 species
UGGGAGUGGCUUUGAAAGUUGUAUGUUC